rnacentral:rRNA from 1 species
GAUCCUGGCUCAGAUUGAACGCUGGCGGCAUGCUUUACACAUGCAAGUCGAACGGCAGCAUGGAGAGCUUGCUCUCUGAUGGCGAGUGGCGAACGGGUGAGUAAUACAUCGGAACGUGUCCUGUUGUGGGGGAUAACUACUCGAAAGAGUAGCUAAUACCGCAUAAGACCUAAGGGUGAAAGCGGGGGACCUUCGGGCCUCGCGCAGUUGGAGCGGCCAAUGACUGAUUAG